GAAUUGACGGGGACCCGCGCAAGCGGUGGAGCAUGUGGUUUGAUUCGAAGCAACGCGAAGAACCUUACCAAAUCUUGACAUCCCGCUGACGUAUCCUUAAUCGGAUAUUCUCUUCGGAGCAGUGGAGACAGGUGGUGCAUGGUUGUCGUCAGCUCGUGUCGUGAGAUGUUGGGUUAAGUCCCGCAACGAGCGCAACCCCUGUCCUUAGUAGCCAGCAAGUAAAGUUGGGCACUCUAGGGAGACUGCCGGGGAUAACCCGGAGGAAGGUGGGGAUGACGUCAAAUCAUCAUGCCCCUUAUGAUUUGGGCUACACACGUGCUACAAUGGCGUGGAACAAAGGGAAGCGAAUCUGUGAGGAAGAGCAAACCCCAAAAAACACGUCUCAGUUCGGAUUGUAGUCUGCAACUCGACUACAUGAAGCUGGAAUCGCUAGUAAUCGCGAAUCAGAAUGUCGCGGUGAAUACGUUCCCGGGUCUUGUACACACCG
rnacentral:rRNA from 1 species